UUUUUUUUUUUUGGUCAAGGAUAUGUUCAGAUAUGGAUUUUUCAAAUAAAGAGUACUUAAAGUUGCAGACUUCAACCAUCUUUUGUAUGUUUCACUACCAAGACUUGUAUGAAGAUGAAAUUCAGUUAUCAAUGUCAAAAUAGUAUAUCAGAAUGCAUAUGUAUACAUGCAUGACACCUGCCUAUUGAGAACUUGAUCCUGUGAUUUAAAGUUCUCCAAAGACAAGUCCAAUGCAACAUCUACAAAAGUCCAGGGAACCAAUCAAAAGUAGUUUUUUUAUUCCAAAAUCACUAAUACAGUCAUAGACUCCUACACCACAACAUAGGCAUGGCAAUAGUUAAAGAAAUUUGCUGUUUUGCUGCUCCAUUUUUUGAUAUAUGUAAAAUAAUGUGAAACUACAAACAGCAGUACAAAAAUCGUGUUUAAAAUAGUAAGGAAAGGAGAAUCGCUACCAUGAACUCCAAUCAGUGAUCCUUCUGUACCAGCAGUUCUGGGACUUAUCAUUGCAUUAAUCUCAUUCUUUAAAUCCUGUGGCAAAAUAAAAAAUCUCCAUAUAAAAUUUACAACUACAAGAGUAUUAUAGGUCAGAUCAUAUAUAACACAUAGCAUACAGGUUACCUGAGUAGACACAGGAAGCUGCUGACUGCGGUUUUGAGCCUGUUGCAGAUUUCCUGAGCCUCCAGGUGUCCCAUGCAGUGUUUGCCUGCCAAAGAAAAAGUAAUGAAUAACUAAAAGAAGUCUCAGCUACUUUCCAAUUCCGAACAUAAAGAUAUAACACAACAUUGCAAUAAAAGCAAUAUCAUGUGAAAAUUACCCUGGAGGCUGGCCACCCAAUGCAGCUGCUUUCAACAAGGAGGCAUGAUUUGGAUCCAAAAGCUGGCCCAUAUUAUCAUUUAGUCUUGGCUGCAUGGUAUUCUAAUGUUAGAACUGCAAGGAUAAACAAGAAAAAGUCAAUCUUAAAUCUCUUACUGAAUGAGCACCUUCAUAGUCACAUCAUCCAAGGAAUCCCUCUGAAGCGGAAGCUUUAGUCUAUCCUCGUACAUUUUUGUUGCCAAAGCAUUUGCAGUCGCAGAGUUCUGUCUCGUGACAUCAUUAGCAGCAAGUCCACUGGCAUUUCCACUUGGAUGCUGGUUACCAUCUCUACGUUGCUGUUGUUGUUGUUGCUGCUGCUGCUGCUGCUGAUGCUGAGCAUGUCUCUGUAAUAACAGCUGCUGCAUCUGCAUUUGCUGAUGUUGCUGAGGCUUUGGCUGCUGCUGCAUUUCCCGUGCCUUGACCACUUGAGUCUGCUGUUUUCAAGUACUUUCAUCCAUAAGGUUUCAAGUAAACUAUAUUCCCAACAUUGAAAUUACAAAUCAAGGAAAUCCUUGGGAAACAGUGCACUUCAUUUUUAUUUCACCAAUGAAACAAACAUACUAAAGCUAAUUAUGCUCAUCCAGACAGUGUGGAACAAACUAAUGAAAGAAACUCUGUCUAAGCCUAUCAAACAGAAUUUAGAUAAGUUUAAGCAAUUUAAACAUGCACAGAAAUUUUACGAAGUCAACAUGUAGAAGAAAAACAGCCCAAAGAUUUUAUUUUUCCCAUUUAACAGGGGAAGGAUUCAGUGACAAGGAUCUAUUUACAAAAGAUAAAAAAACUACAAAAAUUAUCAAAUACAUAAGCCAGAGAAGACAAUCAAUUAUUGGCUAUCUAUAAAGACUAUAAUACAAUUGCAUUCUACUUGGCAGAUUAGACACAAAAUGCAUAAAAUACAGAAAUCACAAUAUUGCAAUGAGGCCAACAUACCGCAGUAAGGAAGAAAUAAAAUUAAAAAAAAAAAAAACAUAAAUAGACCUCAAUGUAAGAUGCAGCUGCUUCCGAGUGCUUCUCAUUUGUCCUAGAGAUAAAAAUGUCCCAAAAGACAGACCACCAUUCGAAGAGAAAACCACCAGGUGCGUCAAUAGCUGGAAUUAAAAGCAAAUGAAAAGUCAAUAAUAUUCCAAUUACAUGGCAGCAAAUGAACAUGCAAAAUUCUGUAAUGUCUCUAUUUGCCUUUGGUUUCCUAAUUUAUCUCUUUCCAUCAAAUAUUCUUACCAACAGGAUCUGUGGAUACUUUCCCUUCAGCCUGAAAUGCCUUCGCAGCAGUAUGCAGUUUUCUUUUCAUAAGGUAAUCAUAUAUAUAAACAUCCAACCUAUUGUACCAAGGAACAAAGACAUAAUGCCAGUCAGAAAUCAGUAUUAUUGAGACUAUAAAGUAGAGCAAGACACAAUAGUGACAAACAAGAAGCAAAGAUCAAAAAGCCUCAACUGCUAACGAAAUGUAGAUAGAAGAUGGAAACUUCUAGAGAUGAUCAGUGUUUAAAAUACUCAAUAUAGAGCCUCCCACCCCAUUAAAUGUAGCACAAUAUGUGCAGCUAAGUUCAAGUGACAAUUUCAUCUUCUAGAUUCAACGGCAGAGAUUAGACCACUAAGUAGAAAGCUUACUCUCCAAUUUCCAUCAGAAUGAGCAGUCAAAAGAUUCAUUUGACAGUGCACAACUCCUCAAAAGUCCAACUCUAAAUCUCAAAAUUUAGGGGAAAAAGGAACUAGUUGGAAAAGCUCAAAAGAAAACCUUUUCUCUUCUAAGUGAAAAUUUUAUUUCCAAAAAGGCAAUUUGACCUAUAAUAUAAAACUACCUUCUUAUCAGCAAUGGCAAUUUCAUCAGCAAUAACUAAAACAAAAAGAUUUACAAUGUGAAACAUUGAAGUAAAAAAAAAUACACCCCGAAGAAUAAAAUUCAAGCCUGUUCAUAGAAAUUAUGAAAACUAUAAUAGUAAAAAAAGAAAAAAGUAAAAUUUCAAACCCUAACCAAAACUGAGGCAGAAAAAAGCAUAAUUUCUACUAAAAAUCCAAUUUUCGUAUUAGAAACACCAAACAAGCCAUGGCCCAAGAAUGAAGAGAAUAUUACUCAAAGAAAGGGGGGUGGGGGGUGGGGUGGGGGGAGAAAGAAGUUAAAGGAAACACCAACACUUCAGAAACCAUAUUAAAAAAAGAGGAAGAAGAAGAAGAAGAAGACGAAGAACAAGAAAAUAACAAAACCCUGAGACCCAAAAACCCAAUUAAAAAACCCAAGAUUUCUAAAGCUAAAAUAAAUAAAAAUAAACCCUAGAAAUGAAACAAUUUGCUUACAUUUUAUCAGCUUCCCAAUUGGUCUGAGACUGAGACUGAGACUGAGAAUUAGACUGAGACAUGAUUUUGCACUAGUAGUCCUUUAGUAAUGUGCAAAAGAGAAACAACAAUUAGAUAUCAAAAUCAAGAAACAAAGAAUGUCAGGGCAAAACUUCUGUGGGUCAGAUUCUCUAAAAACACGUUCUUUACGGUUUUCCAAAAGAAAAUGCAAAUUUUUUAAAUAUUCUUUUUUUCUUAACAAAAAAGAAAGAAAAUCGUUCUUUUGAAGAAUGGCUGCUUGCCUGCCACCCUUUUUUUUUUUCUUUUUUAAUCUCCUUUUCUUUUUUCUUUUUUAAUCUCUAUUUUGUGUGUGAAAACACUAGACUUUUAUGUGUGAUUAUUAUUUUAAUUAUAAAGUUAAGUCGAUGAAUAAAAUAUAAUUAGAUUUUCAACAUUCAAUAUUGGGUAAAUUAAUCAAUUGGUAUCAAAUUUUGAGAUUGUAUAUUAAUUUGAUAUCAAAACUUUAAUUUGAAUCAAAAUAGUACUAAAAAUACAGACAAGUAUAUCAAUUUAGUCCACAUGCUCAAUUUCUGACAAUGGAUGGUGACGUGACAAGCUGAGAAGACAAAGUUAAUUGACGUGGCACACGCCGAGGGAGCAAAACAAUCAGAAUAUACCUUAUCAGCUUGCCACGUCGCCAUUUGUUGUCGGAAAUUGGUCAUUUAGACUAAAUUGAUAUAAUUUUUUGUACUUUUGGUACCAUUUUGAUUCAAACUGAUAUAUAGUCUCGAGUUUUUAAUACCAACUAAUUCAUUCGGGCGAGACAUCGUAAGAUGUCAUGAUGUGCCCAUUCCUAUGGCCAUUCCUUUAUUACUUCUGGCUCUCGGGAGUCUCUUGCCAUUUUCUUAUGAAUACAAUGAUUCAAGGGACCCUGGAGUUAUAGUGCAUACUUUGCUAUUUCCAGAAGUAUACGUACAAGAUUUCAGUGCCUCUGGAAAGAAGAUAUUGAGAGAAUUCUGUUGAUAUGUAUUCUCCUCCGGAAUCUAAUCGUAAAAAAAAAACUUUGCAUUGAAAAUAAUGUCUGGCUUGUCGAUUAUUCGUUUAGGGGAGGUGAAAAUGGACGGUUCAUGCUGGCGAGAUCGCCUAGGGUGUGUGUAGAGCGGCUCUUUCUCACAACUAGGGGGUUCUAAACUAGAUAGGAAAAAAACCACGCAGAGCGCUCUUCCAAAAGCCCAUUCAAACUCCUCCGUUAGAAAUGUCUCACCACGGAGACAUUGGCCGGUUUUUUGUUCUCUAAUAUAUUGUCUAUGAAUUUCUUUUUCUGUUAGCCAGCUUACCGAUCAUGACUGCACUGUCUCAUUUUGUGCUUCUUCUUGCUCCGUGCAGGAUCGUCAUACCAGCGCCCUAAUUAGUCAUGGUCGUAAUCGUGGGGGCUCAAUUACAUGGACUGUCUCCGUUGAUACCAACUGGACAAUUUACGCUUCAAUAUUACUUUAUAAAAUUUAAAAAAAUAAUAACAAACUAACUAUAUAUAAACAUCUUUAAUUUUUUAAUAUUUUAAAAUUUAUUAAUGCAAUAAUAUAAAUAUUACUUAUUAAUUAAAUAUAAUAUUAAAAAUACAAUUUAAAAUUUUAUUUUUUAUAUUAUAAUUAUUAUCCAAUUACAAAACUAAUUUAUUAGUUAAUAUAAUAUUAAAAUAUAAGUAAUAUAGUAUUUUUUAUGAUAAAUUUAAUAUUAUUAUCUGAUUAAAAAAUUAUUUAUUAGUUAAUAUAAUAUUAGAAUACAAUUAAUGUGCUACUAUUUUUUAGGAUAGAAUUAGUAUUAUUAUCUGAUUAAAAAAUUAUUUAUUUGUUAAUAAUAUUAAAAUAUAAUUAAUAUUCUAUCUCUAAUCCUUAGGAAUUUAAUUUAUUAAUUAAUAAAAAAUUAUAAAAUUACACAUAAAUUUAAAUUUCAUGUUUCAAAAGUAGUACAUAUAUCAAAAUAAAAAUUAAGCACACAUUAAUAAAAAAAUUAGAAUUCAAAAUUUAAUAUUAUAUCUAGAUUAUUAUAUGUACUAAGUCCUUUCUCUAUCUAGAAUGUGUGGCGAGUAAAUGCGUUUCUCUUUUUCUUUUUCUCUAUAAGAAUUAAAUAUUUAAAAAACUAUAUAAAAACAAACUAUAUGUUAGUUAUUUUUAAUAGAAUUCACAUAUAUGUAUAUAUAGGAUAAUAUCUAUAAAUCACUGAAAUAAUUUUUUUAAUUUUUUGUGUAAAUAAUAAACUCAAAAGAUUACUUGGUUGCAUAGUCUUUUAAAAUGAUUUUUCUUGCUUAGUUUUGCAAGUUAUUUUUCCUUUCAUUGCUAUUUAAUUAGAUUUAAGAUAUUGAAAAGAAUAGCAUUUUGAAAAUACUUAAUAAUCAUAAAUUUAAAAAUACAAUAAUUUUAUUUUUUAUAUUAUUAAUUUAUCUAUUAAAUUUUAUCAAUUUGAAUAGAAUUUAUUAUUAUUAAGAGAUUAUGAUAUAGAAAUUACUCUAUUCAUAAAAUUUUGUAUAAUUUAUUUAUAAAAUAAAAUUGAAAUUAAGAAAUUUUAUGAAUAUUUUAUCUGAAUUAAAUUCUAAAAAUAAAAACAAAUUUUUUUAUAUGAAUUAGUAAAUCAAUAUGUUAUAUAAUUUUUAAUUAUAUCUUCUUACUUUAUCUUUCCUUAUGCCUCUUAUCUAUAUUCUUUCAAUUAUAAAUUUUUCAAAAAUAAUAUCUAUUUCCAUUUAAAAUUAAUUCUAUAACUAUUAAUAAAUAUAUUAAACAUAAAAAAAGUUAUAUAAAUAAAUUUUAACUAAAUAUAUACAUUCCCUGCAUAAUUAGUUAAAUAUCUUCCUAUGCAUUUGAUUAUAAUAUGACCAAUAAGUAUAAUGUAUAAUGGAAGGCAAAAGUAGCCCUCUUUUUCUUCUCCACUAUUCUAAACUUUCUCUCUACUAUUCAUCCUCGUAUUCAGAAAAACAAACUUAAUCAUUGGGGUGGUAUCACUCAAAUUACUUGGCUUUGCAGAAAGCACAAGUGUUAUUAUUAUCACAAUUGAUUUUUAUUACCAAGAUUAUUGAAAUGUUUCAUAUAUUUUUCUGUUGUUAAGAGAGGGAAAUAAUUUUGGGGCAUGAAAUAAAUAGCAUGCACUAUGAACAUAUAUUUUAAUGGCCUAAUUAAAUUCUUCAAAUCAUAUCUAUGAUUUAUUCCAUUUUUCACUUACUUUUCUUUAAAAUUUCAAAAAUGUCUUUCGUUUCUUUAUCAGGUUUGAAUUAUUCUGAUAAAGACUUUGAUAUCCCAACCUAAUAUUUCUUCCAAAUCCAAGUUCAACAUAUCAUUUUCAGCAAACGAGUUGCAUCUCUUCUUUUUCUAUUUUCCCACCAUUUUGUUGGUCGUUAGUUAAUUAGCUGCUUGUCAAAAGAUUUGAAGAAUAUAUUUAGCCCUUAGGAUCUCUUUGAAAUUGUUGGGUAAAAUGUCAAAUAUUUUCAUGGCUAAUUAAGCAGUAAGAGUAAUCCUAAAAAUAGUAUAUUAAUGCGAAAGUGUGAGUUGAUAUGGGCCGGGGGGUAAAGGAUUCUAUUGGUUAAAUGCUGAUGGCUAGAUCAGGUGCUAUUUCUGGGAACUUCACAGUUAGAGAGGCUGACGCAAUAAGCAUUAGGGAGGCUUUAUCAGGUGGAUAGAUGUAUCAUAGAAUCAGAUGCAGCCGAAGUCAUCCAAGGCUUGAGGAGUCCUCAAUGUUUCUCUUCAGGUGAGUGUAAUUCUAGAUUUAUUCAUAGAUCUGUGAAUAGUGAAGCUCAUUUAUUUGUUUGGUAACGUCAGGUCUUAAAGAGUAGUUUGUUGCCAAUGUAUUUGUUAUCGUUUAUUCACAUCAAUGAGAGUUCGUUUGGAUUUCAAGAAAGAAAACAGUAAGAGUGAGUUGAGCUACAUUAAUGCAGUAUAGUUUAAAUCACCAUGUUCCAUGCGUAGCAAAACCCAUGUCCGAACCAGGCAUGUAUCACAUUGCAAAAAUAAGGAUAGGUUUAUAGGUACUCAGUACCUACGUACACUAACAAUAGUUCAAUUAUAUAUUAAGAAACUUGAAACUUGAAACAUGACCCCUUCUACUUUUCUUGGAGACAAACAAUAGAAACCAGCAACGCUGUUCUGUUCUGUGCAUUUGAUAGAGCGGACAGUAAGUCUGUCUUUUGACGAGGAUGUAUCUGCGGUGGUUUUUUCAUAUUUCUUCUUGUUCUAGAAAGAGGUGUAAAGAAGUGAAACUACCUCAAUUACUAUAUAUGUCUAGUUGUAAUCAACUAGCUUUAGUAAUAAUCAGAAGCUACAAUUUUAAAAUGGAAGGUGCUGGAAGUAUUUAUACCUCGUAUAAGUAUAAAUAGGUCAUAUAUUUCUCUUGGCCUUGAUAUUGGUUGUAUCAUGAAUGUUUGAAAGAUGGAUGGAGCCGAAGAAGUUUUUCUAGUAUCUUUGAAGUUCGUUUUAACAUGAAUACUGACAUUUAUUUUAAGUUAAAUUAUAAUUUUUCGAGUGGAGAUUGCUGCCAUUAUUCCACUUCUCCCUUCAUUUUAGCAGUUAAAAGAAUAAAAAAUGAAGGGUGGCGGAGGAGGACAAAGACUAACACACUGCAUGUUUGCCUUCCAAAGUUCCCCACCUAUUUUGAUGGGAUUCAUCUGCCGACAAGGACAGAAAUUUGUUCAAUGCUAUUCCCGAGAACAACGCAUGAACCAUGCCAGUUACUCUUUUGUUUCUAAAAUAAUAUUCUUUUCAUUCCUCUACUUCCCAUUUCUUUUUUAAAUAAAAUAAAUUUUAAUUUUUAUAUUAAUUUUUUCAAUUCUAUUCCAUUUUUUUAUAUUAGAACAAGUUACUCUUUAUUCAAUAUUUUUUAAUUUAAAUGAAUUAUUAAAAUGUGAGAAUAAAUAUGAAAUUGAAGAAGUAAUAAUUAAUAAUAAUAAUAAAGAUUAGAAAUGAGGUGAGAGAAUAUAUAAUAUCUUAUUUUAUUUAUUUGUAAAUAAAAGAAAACUGGGGGAUAAAUUAAAGCAGGAGGAAGAAGUCUCUUAAUCUCCAAAUAAGGGGAAAUCUUGAUCUCUCCUCUUCUUCCUCCCAUCAUUUCAAAACAGAAAAAGGUUAAUGUUUCUUACUGUCGGCACACCCACCAAAUGAAAAGGCCAUUUGCCUCGUAAGUGUUACAAAAGGUUACAACUUCGAACCUUCGUUCUUUUGAGCAGUAAAAUUAAUGCUUAAUCAUUUUACUUAUUGGUUUCAUCACAAAAUAUCAUUCUUAUGGCUAUUGAACCAUUUGAUAAUAGUAAGUAACAGUUAAAGUAAUAAUGGUAAAACUAACAGACUUGUCAAUUCUGAGAAUCUUUUUUUUUUCCUUCUUUCUGUUUGAAAACUAGAUAUUGAAUAGCAGGUCAACUAAAAAACUUUCUUAUUUAUUAUUAUGUGAUGGAGCAUGAAGAUGAGGUUUGAGAUUAUUAAUUAUCAAAUUACUGUCAACUAGUUAUUUAUCUAUGCACUGUAGGAUCGUUAUUAUUGUUUUGAUUAUAAAUAAUAAUGUAAAUUAAGUUUAUAAAAAAACUGAAUAAAAUUUAUAAUAUUCUAUAAUUAUCUACUUUCCUUUAAAAAUAUAUAUAAUUUAAAAAUUCUUAAUUAUAUUUUUAAUAAGAUUUUUAGUAUUUAAAAUUUUACUAAUGCAAUAAAUAGAAUUAUUAUUUUAGAAUAAUUUGCUAAUCUUUUUAUUUAUUUAAAAUUAAACUACAAAUAUAACUAAUAUGUUACUUUUUAAAAUUAAAAAUCAUUCUAUAACUAAGAAACUUAUUUAUUAAUCAAUAUAAUAUUAUAAAAAUAAAUCAUUAUCUUAGAAAAAUAAGUUAUUAAUUAUAUAAUGAAUAAAAAAUUACACAUGAACAUAUACAUCUCAUAAUUAAUCACAUUUAUGGUCGACUUUUUUUUUUUUUCUGAAAGGUGGUUGGUUUGUAUUUUGAGUCUUACUAUUUUGGUUGAUUUGUAUUUUUAAGUUGGUUAAUCGUUUUUGUCUUUGAUUUUUCCUGAUCUACUUGGAAACUUUUUCAGAGUAUCAGGACAAGGAACAAACAGCAUUUUAAUAUAAGCGUGGGAGGGUGGGUGCGGUGACGAUUUUGAUUUUCACCAUUUUGUGGUUUAAAUGUGAUCGCUGAGUUGAUUGGUAGUAUGUGGGCUUGGACUUUACAUUCUGUAUAUUUAUGGGCUCAAUCUGUAAUUUAUGUGCACCUUCUUUUCAAAUCUCAUUGGUGUACUAAUUUCUGUUUUUGUUCCAUUUUGCUUGCAUGACAGACCCAACUAUAGUCGAGGGUAUCAUGACUUUAUCUUUUGAAGAUAUCAUUGAUUCAAUUUGCUUUAGGGUUUUAUGAAAUUAAAGAAUUUUGAUUAGUAAAGUAUUGGUGCACAAAUGUCAAAGGACACCGCCAUAUAUAUUCAAGGCUGCACAAAAUAGUGAAAUAUGUAAUUUAAUUCGCUGUAAUGAAAAAAACAUUAUCAGGAUUUGACAUAUUGCGAAUCCUCUUAAAAGGUGUCUUUAAGAUGGUCGUCGUAUGGAACAAACCUUACAAUCAUCAAUUCAAAAGGGGAAAAAAAGAAACUCAAUGCAUUUUAAACAGCGACAUCAUAUGGUUUAAUUAAUCAUAAUCACAUCAAGGCUUUCCUUGUAUAAAUCUACAGUAAAAGAACUUGCUUGUAUAAACCUUACAAUCUUGUUUCCGUCUAAUGGUAAAGCUGUCCAUGCUAAGCUAUCAGGCUUUUCUAUGGUUUUGUCUGGUGGUAAAGCUUUUUAUGGUUUGAUGUAAAGAGUAGAGGAGCUUCUCGUUUGAUUAUACAGAUUGACUUGGAUCAUCGAACAUGAGAUACGAUUUCUUUUUCGUAAUCCCUGUUGUAUUUGGAAUGUAAAUUUCCAAGAAAAUGAAAGAAAUGUAAGCGGAGAAUUCUUUUUAUAGAUACUCGCCCAUUUAAACUUCAAAUGAUUUCUUAUUGUAAGAUAAGAAAUUCAAUUUACAAGCAGACUCUCAAUUCUAAUGCGAAUAAAAAACCCUUUACUUCUCCCUAAAUUGAAUUGGUCUGAACAUGGAUGCAGAUAACACAGCUAAAUAGAAAUGGAAGAUUUCCCAUCAAUUUCUAGUAAUGACUAGAAAAGCAAUUCUCUCAGGAAACUAAGGCCACCACUGUUACUCUUUGAAGUCAUCUUUGUCAUCGACAGGAAUUGGUCUGUUCCUCCAAAACACUGCAAGAGCACUCCCCCCGAGCUGCAAGGCAGAUUAAGAAAAAAUUGAGAUUGUUAAAGUAAUGGUUGACAAAAGAUACCUGAACAGUCAUUGACAGCACACAGAAAACAUAUAGUUGAGCUCUGACUGAAUGCAGUAAUAUACUUACUGCCAUGC
rnacentral:lncRNA from 1 species